AAAAAAUCUCAACACUUUUAGGCCCACAGGCAGCUGCUGACAGCAAAUGAUAAACUUUGCAGCCACAGCUAUGGAAAUUUUCCCAAUAGAUGACAGUUUCAUUUUCCAAAACUGCAGGCUUCAAUUCUUUCCCUACAUUUUCAUUCCCAAAAGAAUUGAGAGGGGCAAAAAGUCCUCCAGAACGUCAUAUAUGAUAAUUGAUGAAAAAAGAAACAGCAGACAUCUCAAAACAUGAGAAAACAUCAAACAAGUUAGGCACACAAAAGGAUUGAGGCUCAAUCCAUGAAAAGUAAGCAGAUGGCCAACCAGUUAAUCAGAAGUCAAAUGCUACAAAUGCAGAGGGAAAGAACAAAUAAAUGGUUAACAUAAAAGUUAAAUGUUAAAACAAUCUAUUAAACAUCCUGCAGUUUCAUAAGUUCAGC
rnacentral:misc_RNA from 1 species